GAAGGUUCGAUUAGUCUUUCGCCCCCAUGCCCAUGUUUGACGAUCGAUUUGCACGUCAGAACCGCUGCGAGCCUCCACCAGAGUUUCCUCUGGCUUCACCCUACACAGGCAUAGUUCACCUUCUUUCGGGUCCGGCCCCGUAUGCUCCUACUCAAAUCCAUCCGAGAACAUCUGGAUCGGUCGNUGAUGCGCCGAAGCUCUCACCCACGUUCACUUUCAUUCCGCGUAGGGGUUUGGCACCCGAACACUCGCAUACGAGGACGACUCCUUGGUCCGUGUUUCAAGACGGGUCGCUGGUGACCAUUACGCCAGCAUCCUUGCAGUGAUGCGCGGGCCUCAGUCCGCCCCCGGGGCAUGGCGCGGCGGGCUAUAACACUCCCUGGGGAGCCACGUUCCCGCNGCCUUUGUCCCCCGGCGCGAACUGAUGCUGGCCUGGNANGGGCGGAGUGCNCCGGCGAGAACGCGUGAUCCNNNNNNNCCAAGUNUGGUCACGAGCGCUUCCCUUUCAACAAUUUCACGUACUGUUUAACCCCCUUUUCAAGGUGCUUUUCAUCUUUCGAUCACUCUACUUGUGCGCUAUCGGUCUCUGGCCGGUAUUUAGCUUUAGAAGACAUAUACCUCCCAUUUUGAGCAGCAUUCCCAAACUACUCGACUCGUCGAAGGAGCUUUACAGAGGCUCGGCGUCCGACCAGACGGGGCUCUCACCCUCUGUGGCGUCCCGUUCCAGGGAACUCGGAAGGCGCCUCGCCCAAANCAUCCUCUGCAAAUUACAACUCGGCCCCCGGNNNNNNNNNNNNNNNNNCAAAUUUGAGCUGUUGCGCUUCACUCGCCGUUACUGGGGCAAUCCCUGUUGGUUUCUUUUCCUCCGCUUAUUGAU
rnacentral:rRNA from 1 species